rnacentral:rRNA from 1 species
UUAAAUUGAAGAGUUUGAUCAUGGCUCAGAUUGAACGCUGGCGGCAGGCCUAACACAUGCAAGUCGAACGGUAACAGGAAACAGCUUGCUGUUUCGCUGACGAGUGGCGGACGGGUGAGUAAUGUCUGGGAAACUGCCUGAUGGAGGGGGAUAACUACUGGAAACGGUAGCUAAUACCGCAU